rnacentral:sRNA from 1 species
AGAUUAUUUUUUUGGGUAUUGGUUUAGCCGCAGGCGCGUCUGAUACCCCAACAGGCGCCCCAGCAAACAGGGUCGCCACCAACGUUUUUCCAAACCCCGGUCGGCUACCCGACCGGGGU